GAGGUGCUUGCACCUUAUCUUAGCGGCGGACGGGUGAGUAAUGCUUAGGAAUCUGCCUAUUAGUGGGGGACAACAUUCCGAAAGGAAUGCUAAUACCGCAUACGUCCUACGGGAGAAAGCAGGGGAUCUUCGGACCUUGCGCUAAUAGAUGAGCCUAAGUCGGAUUAGCUAGUUGGUGGGGUAAAGGCCUACCAAGGCGACGAUCUGUAGCGGGUCUGAGAGGAUGAUCCGCCACACUGGGACUGAGACACGGCCCAGACUCCUACGGGAGGCAGCAGUGGGGAAUAUUGGACAAUGGGGGGAACCCUGAUCCAGCCAUGCCGCGUGUGUGAAGAAGGCCUUAUGGUUGUAAAGCACUUUAAGCGAGGAGGAGGCUACUGAGACUAAUACUCUUGGAUAGUGGACGUUACUCGCAGAAUAAGCACCGGCUAACUCUGUGCCAGCAGCCGCGGUAAUACAGAGGGUGCGAGCGUUAAUCGGAUUUACUGGGCGUAAAGCGUGCGUAGGCGGCUUUUUAAGUCGGAUGUGAAAUCCCCGAGCUUAACUUGGGAAUUGCAUUCGAUACUGGGAAGCUAGAGUAUGGGAGAGGAUGGUAGAAUUCCAGGUGUAGCGGUGAAAUGCGUAGAGAUCUGGAGGAAUA
rnacentral:rRNA from 1 species